rnacentral:rRNA from 1 species
AUUGAACGCUGGCGGCAGGCUUAACACAUGCAAGUCGAGCGGAGCGAGGGUGCUUGCACCUUAGCUUAGCGGCGGACGGGUGAGUAAUGCUUAGGAAUCUGCCUAUUAGUGGGGGACAACAUUCCGAAAGGGAUGCUAAUACCGCAUACGCCCUACGGGGGAAAGCAGGGGAUCUUCGGACCUUGCGCUAAUAGAUGAGCCUAAGUCGGAUUAGCUAGUUGGUGGGGUAAAGGCCUACCAAGGCGACGAUCUGUAGCGGGUCUGAGAGGAUGAUCCGCCACACUGGGACUGAGACACGGCCCAGACUCCUACGGGAGGCAGCAGUGGGGAAUAUUGGACAAUGGGGGGAACCCUGAUCCAGCCAUGCCGCGUGUGAAGAAGGCCUUUUGGUUGUAAAGCACUUUAAGCGAGGAGGAGGCGCUCUAGGAUAAUACCCUAGAUGCGUGGACGUUACUCGCAGAAUAAGCACCGGCUAACUCUGUGCCAGCCGCCGCCGUAAAAC